GACGAACGCUGGCGGCGUGCUUAACACAUGCAAGUCGAACGGAAAGGCCCUGCUUUUGUGGGGUGCUCGAGUGGCGAACGGGUGAGUAACACGUGAGUAACCUGCCCUUGACUUUGGGAUAACUUCAGGAAACUGGGGCUAAUACCGGAUAGGAGCUCCUGCUGCAUGGUGGGGGUUGGAAAGUUUCGGCGGUUGGGGAUGGACUCGCGGCUUAUCAGCUUGUUGGUGGGGUAGUGGCUUACCAAGGCUUUGACGGGUAGCCGGCCUGAGAGGGUGACCGGCGACAUUGGGACUGAGGUAGGGCGCAGAAUCGUACGGGAGGCAGCAGUGGGGAAGUGUGCGGAAUGGGCGGAAGUCGGAUGCAGAAACGCCGCGUGCGGGAGGACGGCCUUCGGGUUGUAAACAGCUUUCGCCUGUGACGAAGAGGGAGUGACGGUAAUGGGUAAAGAAGCACCGGCUAACUACGUG
rnacentral:rRNA from 1 species